GAGUGGAGUUGGAAUUGUUCACACCAACUUUUCCACUCUCAUCUGCACCAAGACCAUGGCCAUUUCCUGCCAUUGUGUUUGACUCUUCUGCUGUAGAAGGAUCCUUCUGCAGAAGACAGUACAGUGAGUUCACCCUCGACAUCACAUCUGCAUCUCUCGGACCAUUGCCAUUUCUGGUCAUUGUGUCCUCUGCAUACUGCAGAAGGGAGUAUAGUGAGUUCACCCUUGACGUCACAUUUGCAUCUCUCGGACCAUUGCCAUUUUUGGUCAUUGUGUUGGCGUCUUCUGCGGUAGAAGGGUCCUUCUGCAGAAGACAAUACAGUGAGUUCACCCUCGACAUCACACGCUGUUCAUCAGAGGUAGUUGCAUGUUGAGAGUCA
rnacentral:lncRNA from 1 species